rfam:Flavobacterium micromati strain DSM 17659 genome assembly, contig: Ga0131131_114
GUUUCGCAUGAGGGAUGGAAGUGGAAAUCCUUUUAUGUAGCCCCGAAUUUUCGGGACUACAUAAAAGAUUGCAGCGCACAGCCCGACCUAGC